rnacentral:rRNA from 1 species
UUCAUCUACCUUACUGUCUGGAACACACCCAGUCUCAUCUAGUAUUGGAAGCUAAGCGGGGUUGGGCCUGGUUAGUGGAUGGAA